rnacentral:lncRNA from 1 species
UCCACUGUGCUUCUGAUGACCCGGCCGCCGCCGCCGCCCUGCAACCGCUCCCCGGGACCCCUCAACGCUGACACUGAUGACCCGCGGCGGGGGCGCUGGGCGCGGGGUGCGCAGGCCACUGGCCGCGGGCUCUCGGGCCCGCUCCUGCCGCCGGCUUCUGCUGCUUCCGCGUGCCGUGGACACUGCCAGAAUUUGUCAAAGGUCCUAGGAAGAAAAGGCUCUUUCACCCCUCCCCUCAAUGAACAGAUGGCGUGUUUGGACUGUUCGCAUUCGCUCCUCAUAGGGACAAAUGAAUCUCUUCCCACGCCAUGGGAUUUCCCUUGAUUUUUAUAUUGGGAGUGAAAAGAUGAAGCAUGAGACUCUUCAGCUGCAUCUCGAACUGCAUCUAAUCCCAGCACAUCUCUCUCAAUCUUUGAUUAAGUCUGUUCAUCUAAAAGAGAGACACAGGGGAAAAAUGGAAAUGGGACUUUGGAAGAAUGACCAUCCACAUUCCCAUCACAGCCUGAGAUUUCCUACCUGAUUGAGAUUUUCAGUAGAUGGCCCUAGGUCUAGUUUCCCACUUUGGACCUGCUGCCCUUGGCUCCAAUAGAGGACUUCCAAGUAACUAGGAAGAUUUCACCUCUCUUUUGAAACAUAAUGGACAAAUGUGUUUCUUUAGGAUGAGAGGUGCACCUGGCUAGUCAAUCUUUAUUUUCCUAAAAUAAACAGGAUGAAAACUCAAAACAAAAAGAAAUACCUCAUGGGCAAAAGCUCUCCCAAUACAACUAAUACAGACACUCAACAUGGCUUUGUAGAAACUGACCCCUCUCCCAAGUCUUAUGUUUGUCAGAAUUGCAUGCCUAUUUCAAUCGAAGAAAAGUGAUCUGAUCUCUUCAGAUGAAGGUGGGACUUGGAGAUGCUGCUGCCUAGAGUUAACUUGCCAGAGAAAGGAUAAGCAUUCGGGAAGUGCCAGGAUGGGGUAUCAGCUGAACAAUGGCAGGAUCCCUUCUGCCAGUGGGCUGGCUCAGGGAGUAAACCUCCCCGGAAGGAAUUUUGUUUCUCUCUAGAAUCAAAGUGGGCAAAAUGAUCACCUUAUUCGCCUGGAGUGAACCAGGUUGAAACUGAGAAGGCAGACAUGGGUGAUAAGCCAGAUGAAGUCAUAUGUUAUAACUAAGCUAUGUACCUGUAACUUGCCUGGUAGUUUUUUCAUUCUCUCUAAACAGGUCAUAAUAAGUGUUAGUCUGUGAUCCACUAUGGAGAGAGAUUUCUGGAAAGAAUAGAGGCAGUGGUAGAGGGUCCAAGGUUGUUAUUUAAGGAGAUGAAUGUGGGUCAGGUGCCGUGGCUCACACCUGUAAUCCCAGCAUUUUGGGAGGCAGAGGCAGGAGGAUUGCUUAAGGCCAGAGUUCAAGACCAAACUGGCCAAUAUAGUGAGAUCCCCCCCCCAUCUCUACAAAAGAUAGAAAAACUUAGCCAGGCAUGGUGGCAGGUGCUAUAGUCCCUGCCACCAUGGGACUACAGCUCCUGCAGUCCCAGCUACUCAGGAGUUGAGGCGGAAGGAUUGCUUGAGCCCAGAAGUUCGAGGUUGCAGUGAGCCAUGAUCAUGCCACUGCACUCCUCCGUGGGUGACAGAGCGAGACCUGACUCAAUAAUAAUAAUAUUAAUAAUAAUGAUAAUGCAACACAAACUAUCUUUUACCUCUUGAACAAUGAAUGCAGAUGCCAUGACUACAUCUGUUUGUUGGGGACCAGGGAGGCUGCCAGUGAGGAUUCAGGGUGGAAGUAGUGUGUACCCAAUACCUAUUGUGAGAUGUGGCCUGGGGAGCCCUGAGAUUGCCUGGCCAGGCUCACUCACUACCCAGACACCCUCUUCCUGCAUGGCGAGUCCCUCAGCCCCUCCAAGGCUCAAUUCUCAGACAUCGGAGUAAUCCACAUCCUCCAUCUUGAGUUACUCCUCACAAGGCCUGCAAGUUUUCCUAGGAGGAAGGGAAGACAGGGUUGAACCCACACAAUUCUAGAAUCUAGAAUUUGGAGGAUUUCUAAACCAUUUCUGUAAGUCAGCCCUUGAGAACUUGUAGAUUUUCUCAUCAUUUGCAGCAUGAGAGUCUGGAGUAGACUGUUUGGAUUUGACUCUUGGUUCCUUGGGCAAGUUACUUAACCUCUCAGCUGUGUGUCAGUUUCCUUAUCUAAAAAGUGUGGUUAAUAAUAACUGACCUCUCAGAGGUAUUGUGAGGUUACUGUGAUGAUUAAAUUAGUUGAUUCAUAU